CACAGCGAAUAUAGAGCAUAUAUAUAAUCAGCACAUACACACACUCCUACACACACAGCAGGAAAAAAAGGAGACCAAGGGAUCCUUCGUGUUUGUGUGUCUGUGUGUCUCUCUCCUCUCUGUGCGUGAGUGCCUUGGGUGGGCGCUGUAGCGGACGAGUCUGGCACGAACGUCUGUUUUCCUUUCUUUUUAUGUCUGCCUUGGGAGAGAUGUAGCCUUGAGGGGGGGGGAGUUUGCGCGCAGUUGGGUGAGACGACGGCUAUGAGAGGCAAGGAGGGGUGCGUUUUUAAAUGCUCCUCUCCCAUUCUUUUGGCGACAAUGUACGCCAAGAGAGAGAGAGGGACCAGCGGGCCUUGACGAAGCUCGUUUUUCAUAGGCACGGAAGGGCUGAUCGUACGUGCGUGCGCGUGCGCGUGAGUGCUACAGACAAUAUCAGCGCGGCGCCAUGCUCGUACGCAAAUGAAAAAGCAAAAAAAAGGAAAAAAAAAAACGGCAACGGCUCAGCUCACCUGCGGCAAAGGCGGAAAGGGUGAGUCGACGCGAUUUACAAAAAAAGGAGAGGAGGGUAGAGAAGCCGCAAAAGGACGUCAAGGAGGGUAGUGGUGAAGGACAAGUACGUGGGCGGGCAAGGGUGUGAGGAGUGGGGGUGGAUUGCAGAGAGUUCGGACGUCGUUACUGAGGCAGAGAAAAAGAAGAGCAUACUGUGAAGAGAAAUGAGUGGUGCUUGGUGUGAAGCGGGAGGGCGAGGGCUAUUGAUCGGAGUAGGUAGACAAGGGUAGCAGCCACAUGUGGACAGUCGCUCGCUUAGGUGUGUCACCGUCUGGGGUUCAUAGAUCUUCUUUUUGAAACACAAAGAGGAUGUCGCUGAAACAGGGAGUCAGAAGGGAGGAGGGCGGGAGGGCGAGAGCGAAAAGGCGACGUGCGGAUGUGUGCGCGCAUCGUCGAACUCUUCACAUCGACACCUGAUACAGAGAACGAGCAGCGCUCCCCUCCUUGCCAAGAGAUGUACCUUGUGUGUUUUCGCAGUGGUUCAUCUUUGCCAUUCCCGUCGAUGAUUCCCAAUCAAAAGAGGUUUCUGGGCUACUCCGUCGUUCCUCUCCCCCUCUCCCCCUCCCGCUCCCCACCCUUUCGCCCACUGGCAGGAAUUUUGUGUCUUUUUCGUGUCGCCAGGAGGCGCACAACGAUGUGAUGCGGUUGAACGCGUGCGGCCUCUUUUGCUUUCCUUUGCUGCACAGCCUCUUGUUCUUCUCGCCAGAGAAAGCUCACGCUUGUGAUCUACGGUGUUUUCACUUGCGUGUGUACGUGCGCCCUUGCGUAUAGGUGUGGGGUGCCAGACGCCCCCUCUUCCCCCUCUUAUCCCUGCCAAUGCCGAACCCCGCUUCUGGUCGUCGCAGGGUCGGGUGCCUAUGACGUAGCGAAGUCAGGGCUAUGCAUGGCUGCUCAUGUGGGUGGCCAGGUCCUGGCUGGCGUUGCGUCGGAGCGACCUGCGACCUGCGACCGUGGGCACGCCUGUGCCAUCCAUGCGAUAGGCAAGGUGUCAGCGUGACUCGAACGCAUCCGGCCCCCGGCCUGCGCUGCCUACUGGUGGGGAGCCUGGGCCGCCUUGAGGGAUGCACCAGGUGGUGACCGACACAAUGGGAACGUCUGUGAGGCGACCUACUCCGCGGGUGUGGGUAGGGUUUGAGGCAGGGGUUGUGCUCCGACGGCUGAGUCGGCUCAGCGCUGUAAGGAAUAUGCACGUUGAAAAGAUGUUUUCGUUUCCGCUUGUGGGCCAAAGGCUUUGCUCUUCGAUGCUCCCCACUCCCUGCUGCUGUCCUCUACUCGUCUGAAAAACUAAUGGCCGUCGGUGGUCGACGUACGUGCGCACCCCGGAUACGCUCUCGAAAGGAAGGAAAAGGAGCUGGCUUGUGCAUGUACCUCUAGUGAACACUGCUGCACCAUUGCCUUUACUUGCGGGGCCUUCAAUGCUCGAGUAAGGCUCAAACGAGCAUUCCUUUAUGUCCCCCCUCCCCAUCCCUCCUGUUUCCUAUGCACCCUCGCUCUCUCCGUGCAGCUGUACGGGUGUGCUGCCAUGCUGUUCUUUCUUUUCUUCCUUUUUUUUUGCGUCGCGUGUGUGGUCAGUUUUUGCCUGUUAUGUUUUUUUUUCCUUUACGUGUGUAUCGCUGUGUGUGUGUGUGUCCCGCCCCCUCCCCCUCCCCUUUUUCAUGCGCCGUUCUGCCUUUCUCCAUCGUUACUGGUGGCUCUCUGCCCCUCACCCCCACCCCAGGGGAAGAAACAUUGGAGUUAGAGGGACGGCUGGGUUAUCGACGCCACCUUCCCCUUUAACACAAGCAUGCGUGUCGCGCCUGAACUGCAGGCAAUUUAACCAACACGAAACCUCAACAAAAAACUUCUUUCCGCUUCUCCUAUGCCCGUAGCAGUACUCUUGGGAUUCGCGUUUCACCUAUGUUUGCGGGCGUGCAUGUGUGUGCGCGUGUGUCGGCUUGCCGCUACUGUCUUUGUAAUUGCUGCUGUUGCCAGGGGGGGGUGGCACUUUUUCUUUAUUUUUUUGUCGUGAGUUUGCCGCUUUCGUUGUGCCUCCUUCUCUACCUCCUUUCCCUCCCCCACAAGCACUUGGAUCUUGUGUCGACCUUCUGCCCUUAUUUGCGCCUCCUCCCUCUUGGCACUGCCUACGUUGUCCAUUCUCCCCCUUUCCACUCGAGGCGGCCGCUCCGACCGCGACGCCAUCGCCUUCCCUUCUUCAUGGGUUCGAGCCGAAUGCUCGUCUUGUUUUUUUUUCUUUCGUUCUUCUCUGUGCUUCAUGAUAUUUUUUUGGGCGUCUCGGUCAUGCUGCACACACUUACAGAUCUUACAGGUGCGCGUUAUUAUCAUCAUUAGUAUUAUGGUUAUUAUUAUUGUGUGUGUUUGUGUGUGUGUGUGGUGUUUAUUGCGUAGGCUGUGCGUGCGUGGGUAGCUGUGCUUGUGAUGACGGAGGAGGGGAGGCUGGGGGCUGCUGCUGCUAUCAUUGGGUGGCAUCGUCUUCUCUCUCAGCUGGCCCGGAGAGUACUGCUCCUUUUCAUGUGCGUAGGGCUUGUCUUCACGUAAACAGAAUCAUCAGCUGUCGCAUGUCUCUUUACAUCUUCUCACAAUUCUGCGUCUUCAUUGCGUCAUUUCCAUCUUGCCGCCUUCCGCUUUUGCUUUUUCGCCUUUCCAUCUCAGCUGAUCGAAAGAAGGAACGCUAAUGCCGAUGACGAUGAUGCGUGCGCCGAUUUGAACACAAUGUCUUUCAUGUUUUCUCCUGCUUCCCCCAUCCUCUCUCUGUGGGGUUCGUGUGUGUGUGUGUGUGCAUUCAAGCUGUGUGAUCAUGGUCAAUAACUGUUUCUUGUCUCUCUCUUUGUAUGUGCAUGAUGGCGGGCUGGAAGGAGCUUUUCACGGCUUUCAAGGGGCGUACGCGCACCGACAUGUCCCUACUGCGUGCGGCACUGUGCUCUGACGAUCAAGAGAAAAAAAAGCAAACCGAGCGGAGAAGAUGGUCGCUUGUCUCCUGAACGGCUUAUGGGUUUACUCGCGUGCCUUGAACUGUGUCCCCGCCCUACCCUGUUUCUUUCCUGUUUGUGUCCCUGUCGUAUGUGUGCGUGCUCACGAUGGGACUCUGCCGUUUCUCACCGCACGACUGCUCUUCAUGGGCGGGUUGCUAGGCGGGUGGCCGGCCAUGCAUGCGAGCGUGUGUGCGCGAAUGGGCGACGCCACACCACUCUCUCUUCUCUUUAGAUCAGAGCACAUCAACAGCGCUGCCCCAUUUCACAUGAGCCCCCCCCCCAAAAAAAAAAAGACAGCGAAAGAGGAAUUUCAAUACAGGAAAUGAACGAGAAGUGUUCUCGUAAGCUCGGCUUCGUGAUCGCUACACUUGCGCUUCUCCCGGUUACGUCAUCCUGUCGGCGUUGUGCGCUGCGGAGUUUUGAGCGGAUUGGGGGAUGAGUGAAAGCGGUGCCAUGCUUCUUUCCUUAGGCACAUGCCGGCCCACUACUUUUACGUAGGUGCCUCUGUGCGCGCAGUCUUCGUCGUCGGCCUUUGGCGGCUGCGAGCUCUCGUG
rnacentral:misc_RNA from 1 species